AGCAGCCGCGGUAAUUCCAGCUCCAAUAGCGUAUAUUAAAGUUGUUGCAGUUAAAAAGCUCGUAGUUGAACUUCGGAAUUUAUUCAUUGGUCAGGCUUAACUGUCUGUACUGGUGUGAUGAAUUCCUACCUUCUGAGGAAUCUUCAUGCCAUUCACUUGGUGUGGUGGGGAAUCAGGACUGUUACUUUGAAAAAAUUAGAGUGUUUAAAGCAGGCUAACGUCUGAAUACAUUAGCAUGGAAUAAUAAAAUAGGACGGCUUGGUUCUAUUUUGUUGGUUUCUAGGAUCACCGUAAUGAUUAAUAGGGAUAGUUGGGGGCAUUAGUAUUCAAUUGUCAGAGGUGAAAUUCUUGGAUUUAUUGAAGACUAACUACUGCGAAAGCAUUUGCCAAGGAUGUUUUCAUUAAUCAAGACGAAAGUUAGGGGAUCGAAGACGAUCAGAUACCGUCGUAGUCUUAACCAUAAACUAUGCCGACUAGGGAUCGGACGAAGUUAAUUUUUAAAUGACUCGUUCGGCACCUU
rnacentral:rRNA from 1 species